CGCGGCCUAUCAGCUUGUUGGUGGGGUAACGGCCCACCAAGGCUUUGACGGGUAGCCGGCCUGAGAGGGCGACCGGCCACACUGGGACUGAGACACGGCCCAGACUCCUACGGGAGGCAGCAGUGGGGAAUAUUGCACAAUGGGCGGAAGCCUGAUGCAGCGACGCCGCGUGAGGGAUGACGGCCUUCGGGUUGUAAACCUCUUUCGACAGGGACGAAGUUGACGUGUACCUGCAGAAGAAGCGCCGGCUAACUACGUGCCAGCAGCCGCGGUAAUACGUAGGGCGCAAGCGUUGUCCGGAAUUAUUGGGCGUAAAGAGCUCGUAGGUGGCUGGUCACGUCUGCCGUGAAAGACCCGGGCUUAACUCGGGUUCUGCGGUGGAUACGGGCCGGCUUGAGGUAGGUAGGGGCAAGCGGAAUUCCUGGUGUAGCGGUGAAAUGCGCAGAUAUCAGGAGGAACACCGGUGGCGAAGGCAGGUCUCUGGGCAUUAACUGACGCUGAGGAGCGAAAGCAUGGGGAGCGAACAGGAUUAGAUACCCUGGUAGUCCAUGCCGUAAACGUUGGGCACUAGGUGUGGGGGACAUUCCACGUUUUCCGCGCCGUAGCUAACGCAUUAAGUGCCCCGCCUGGGGAGUACGG
rnacentral:rRNA from 1 species